rnacentral:rRNA from 1 species
UAAUACAUGCAAGUCGAACGCACAGCGAAAGGUGCUUGCACCUUUCAAGUGAGUGGCGAACGGGUGAGUAACACGUGGACAACCUGCCUCAAGGCUGGGGAUAACAUUUGGAAACAGAUGCUAAUACCGAAUAAAACUCAGUGUCGCAUGACACAAAGUUAAAAGGCGCUUUGGCGUCACCUAGAGAUGGAUCCGCGGUGCAUUAGUUAGUUGGUGGGGUAAAGGCCUACCAAGACAAUGAUGCAUAGCCGAGUUGAGAGACUGAUCGGCCACAUUGGGACUGAGACACGGCCCAAACUCCUACGGGAGGCUGCAGUAGGGAAUCUUCCACAAUGGGCGAAAGCCUGAUGGAGCAACGCCGCGUGUGUGAUGAAGGCUUUCGGGUCGUAAAGCACUGUUGUAUGGGAAGAACAGCUAGAAUAGGGAAUGAUUUUAGUUUGACGGUACCAUACCAGAAAGGGACGGCUAAAUACGUGCCAGCAGCCGCGGUAAUACGUAUGUCCCGAGCGUUAUCCGGAUUUAUUGGGCGUAAAGCGAGCGCAGACGGUUGAUUAAGUCUGAUGUGAAAGCCCGGAGCUCAACUCCGGAAUGGCAUUGGAAACUGGUUAACUUGAGUGCAGUAGAGGUAAGUGGAACUCCAUGUGUAGCGGUGGAAUGCGUAGAUAUAUGGAAGAACACCAGUGGCGAAGGCGGCUUACUGGACUGUAACUGACGUUGAGGCUCGAAAGUGUGGGUAGCAAACAGGAUUAGAUACCCUGGUAGUCCACACCGUAAACGAUGAACACUAGGUGUUAGGAGGUUUCCGCCUCUUAGUGCCGAAGCUAACGCAUUAAGUG